rnacentral:rRNA from 1 species
GACGUAGGGCGCGAGCGUUGUCCGGAUUUAUUGGGCGUAAAGAGCUCGUAGGUGGUUCGGUAAGUCGGAUGUGAAAUCUCCAGGCUCAACCUGGAGGGGUCAUUCGAUACUGCCGUGACUAGAGUUCGGUAGAGGAGUGUGGAAUUCCUGGUGGAGCGGUGAAAUGCGCAGAGAUCAGGAGGAACACCCGUAGCGAAGGCGGCACUCUGGGCCGAUACUGACACUGAGGAGCGAAAGCGUGGGGAGCGAACAGG